GAUGAACGCUAGCGGCAGGCCUAAUACGUGCAAGUCGAACGGUGCCUUCGGACAUAGUGGCGCACGGGUGCGUAACACGUAUGCAACCUACCUUACAUUGGGGGAUAGCCUUUCGAAAGGGAGAUUAAUACCGCAUAAGACAGUAGCUGGGCAUCCAGCAGCUGUUAAAGAUUUAUCGAUGUAAGCUGGGCAUGCGUCCAAUUAGCUAGUUGGUGAGGUAACGGCUCACCAAGGCAAUGAUUGGUAGGGGAACUGAGAGGUCAAUCCCCCACACUGGCAGUGAGAUACGGGCCAGACUCCUACGGGAGGCAGCAGUAGGGAAUAUUGGGCAAUGGACGCAAGGCUGACCCAGCCAUGCCGCGUGCAGGAUGAAGGCGUUAUGCGUUGUAAACUGCUUUUAUACAGGAAGAAACGACUCUUGCGAGAGGCAUUGACGGUACUGUAUGAAUAAGCACCGGCUAACUCCGUGCCAGCAGCCGCCGUAAGAC
rnacentral:rRNA from 1 species